rnacentral:rRNA from 1 species
UACGGAGGGGACUAGCGUUGUUCGGAAUUACUGGGCGUAAAGCGCACGUAGGCGGAUUUGUAAGUCAGGGGUGAAAUCCCGGGGCUCAACCUCGGAACUGCCUUUGAUACUGCAAAUCUCGAGUCCGGAAGAGGUGAGUGGAAUUCCUAGUGUAGAGGUGAAAUUCGUAGAUAUUAGGAAGAACACCGGUGGCGAAGGCGGCUCACUGGUCCGGUACUGACGCUGAGGCGCGAAAGCGUGGGGAGCAAACAGG